rnacentral:tRNA from 1 species
ACUGGGGUGGCAGAGCAUGGUAAAUUGCAUAAGGCCUAAGCCCUUAAACCCAGAGGUUCAAAUCCUCUCCCCAGUU